AUCUAACUGAUGAGUCCGAAAUAGGGCAAAACGCUCGUCAAACUGGAU
rfam:Schistosoma mattheei strain Denwood, Zambia genome assembly, scaffold: SMTD_contig0003688